rnacentral:rRNA from 1 species
UACAGAGACUACAAGCGUUAUUCGGAUUCACUAAGCGUAAAAAGUGCACAGACGGCCAAGUGUGUGAGGCGUGAAAGCCCGGGGCUUAACCCCGGAAUUGCACCUCAAACUACUCGGCUAGAGCAUUGGAGAGGGUAGCAGAAUUCAUGGUGUAGCAGUGAAAUGCGUAGAUAUCAUGAGGAAUACCAGAGGCGAGGGCAGCUACCUGGACAAUUGCUGACGCUCAGGCACGAAAGCGUGGGGAGCAAAAAGG